CCGGCGACCGGCGCACGGGUGAGUAACACGUAUGCGACCUGCCCCCCGCAGGGGGGAUAACCGGGAGAAAUCCCGACUAAUACCGCGUAACGCCGCGGACCUGCAUGGGUCUGCGGCCAAAGGAAGCGAUUCCGGCGGGGGAUGGGCAUGCGGCGCAUUAGCUAGUCGGCGGGGUAACGGCCCACCGAGGCGACGAUGCGUAGGGGUUCUGAGAGGAAGGUCCCCCACACUGGUACUGAGACACGGACCAGACUCCUACGGAAGGCAGCAG
rnacentral:rRNA from 1 species